GAGGUCUGAGGCAAGAGAACGGGUGAGAAGAGAGAUUUCAGAGCACAGCGAAAGCAAAUCAGGACUGAAAACACUGCCCAGUGCCUUCGCAGCUGUCACAUGUGCCUGAGAAGAGGGGCAAGGAAGAGGUGAAAGGUAUAACAAGAUAACAGAACAGUCAAAAUGGAUCCUCCUCCAGGCAAUGGAUGGAAACUUCUCUUUUUCCAAUUCUCAGUUACUCCAAAAGGUUUAUUCAAUCACUGGUGAACUCAACGGUGACUUAAAUUCAGUGAAGUUGGCCGCCCCCUACUAGGUGGGCAUGGUCUCAGAACCGCUCCGCCUUCUUCCUUCCAGCACCGAGGAGAGGAAAGCGUUAAGAGUCCUGAGCAUG